CAUUACAAAUGUCCUGGAUGCCUGUGAUAUGUUACCCUGCUUGCCUCAUAUAUUACUGAACUUCAGCAGGAGGACAAGACGAAAGGCUUUUGGUCUUCAUUUUGAAUUUCUGAGUAUUCUCCCUUUUGUUUCAUUAUCACUAGAGGACGUUUUGUCUCUUAUCCUUAUGUUUAAGGAAGAACGCUUUGUAGUAAAGCGCUUUUUAGACUGCCGGCCAGGGGAGGGUGGCAAGGCUGUGAUUCCCGGCUCCUCGGCAUCCUUGGGCAGGAGUCAACUGAGGCACGGAGCAGCUGGCCCCAGGUGCUUGUUGUGUUUAUUAAGGUGUUGCUCGCCCAGCACAGAGCCGGGUCCCUCGGCUCUGCUACCCGCAAGCCUGGCUCGCACGACCCGUCCUGAGCCUGUCUGAGCAAUGCCAGCCUGCAACUUCUGUGGCCGCAAUUGCAGCAAAACAUUUAAGCAGAUGCUUAAAACAGCCUUUACUUAACAAAUUAAGUCAGCAGGGCUUAACCAUGUGUGUAAGUACUUUUUGAAUGGGAUUGUGUUUUUAAAGAGUCAGAGCCUCCAUCUAUUAAAGGCAAGCCUACGCGCUCCUGCGCUGUUCUGCCGAUGCACGUGCUUUGAAGGCAUGUGGAGGCACUGGUCCCAGAAUGCCUUCAGAGGAAGUAAACAAAUUGUGCCAACAUAAAACAGAUCUGUUCUGUUCUAACUCACCUUAGAAGUAUGUACUAAUAUAAUAAUUGUAAUCUAGUUCAAAUAAUUCACAGCAGGAGUUACACUAUGCAAAAACCCAUUUCUGGACCAAAGCUUUUCAGGAGAGGGUUCACUGGUAGAUCAGAUGCACGUCAGAUCCCUGGGCUGUUGGAAACACCACAGAUCCGCUGCCAUCGCCUUACUGAAUGGAAAACAGCAGCUCCAUCAGCAGCAGGCAGCCCUACUGUCACGUCUGGGCUCAGUGAAGGAAAAUGUAGUUAAAGAAGAGGUAGGGUUUCUUUUUUAAAGCUUCCAAAGGCUAGAGAACAAUCACUUAAGAUUUCCAUAAAAAAAAAUAAAAUCCGUCCAAAAUCC